AUCAAAACCCCAAGAAAUAAAAAAAUUAUCGUAGUAGUCAAAAUUUAGGUGAGAGAGAGAGAGAGAGAGGUGUAGAGAGAGAAAGUGUGGCAUCUCUGGUUUCUUCUCCGUAGGUAAUGCCGUUUUCCCUUCAGGUUGUGUUAAAUUACGAGUUAAAAAACCGAAUAAUAUUAUCUAGGAUAUGGAGAGAGUUUACCUCUGGUCAGAUAGUCACCAGCACCGGAUUUUCCCAUUCCAGGAGCUUCUUGACUGGCGGUGCCUCAUCCUUGGAGAUUUUCUUGUUUCCUUUGUCAAUUGGACUUAGUGAACAAACCAUAUUUCUUUCAAAAUAAAUAACCCAAAAAAAAAUCAAUGGUGGAUCUUUUUUAGUGCACUUGUAAAGUGAGUUGCAUAAUCGUAAUCUAUAGUGGAAGCUGGUUUGUGCUGUCAAUCCGGUUACGCUGUUAAUCUUGUGCAAUUCGUUUGUCGUUAAGUGCAUGGCGGAUACAAUAUCCAUCUCAAGGUCUCAAGCUGUGAAGUAUUAAAAAGAAGUGCAUACUUGUGCAUUGUGGCUGUGGGCAACAGAACUGCAGUCAAUCUACUUCUGUUUUGAUUUAUUGACGGUGAAAGCUUUGGUUGACCAUGUUCUUGAGCCUAGGUUUUGUCGGUCCGUUUUGGUAGAAGAUGUUUUGAUUAGGAAUGUUUUACAAAUAAGGCUUCGAAGCCCGUCCAUCGUAGUUCUGUAGGCUCUUCUACACUUAAGAAGACUUGGAGAAUUGAUGGUGGAUUUUUGCUGAAUUAGCCAGACCGUUUAGUAGUAUAUAUUUACAGUCGAUUUCGCGGGUGUGACAUUUCAGUAGAGUUUGUUGAAUAAGCGGCUAUUUUUGCGGUUCCUGCAGUUGAAUUGCAAAGAUGGAAAGGUUUACAAUCAUUAAGGAAGUCGGUAAUGGUUCGUUUGGGAAUGUGUGGCGUGCUCUAAGUAAGAAGACCGGUGAAGUGGUUGCAAUAAAGAAAAUGAAGAAGAAAUAUUAUUCAUGGGAAGAAUGUAUAAAUUUGAGAGAAGUGAAGUCGCUGAGGAAAAUGAGCCAUCCGAACAUAGUGAAGCUCAAGGAAGUAAUCAGAGAAAACGAUGUUUUGUACUUUGUCUUCGAGUACAUGGAAUGCAAUCUAUACCAAGUUAAUUGCCCUUUACUUGAAGUCUUGAAUAGGUAAAAGUGUAACUACCUUGCUAAUAUUUGUCAACAAUAACUUUUGCAUAAUCUAACUGUAACGGUGCUUGUAACAGAGAACUUGCUAGCGACUGGAGAUACUAUAAAAAUUGCUGAUUUUGGUCUGGCUCGUGAGAUUGACGAUCAGCCUCCAUUUACUGAAUAUGUCUCUACACGCUGGUACCGUGCCCCAGAAGUACUCCUUCAGUCCCCAAUUUAUGGUCCUCCAGUUGACAUGUGGGCAAUGGGUGCAAUAAUGGCUGAACUAUUCACACUCCGUGCUCUAUUCCCGGGUUCAAGUGAGGCGGAUGAAAUUUACAAGAUAUGUUGCGUACUUGGCAGCCCAACGAGGUGGGAAUGGUCGGAAGGGCUUCAACUUGCUAGUGCUAUGAAUUACCAGUUCCCUCGACUUCCUGGAGUCAAUCUGUCAGUGCUAAUGCCAGGUGUCAGUGAAGAUGCAGUUGAUCUUAUUACAUCGUUGUGUUCGUGGGACCCGUACAAGAGGCCUACAGCCAUGGAGGCACUUCAACAUCCUUUCUUCCAGAGUUGCUUCUACGUUCCACCAUCUCUGCGUUCGAAAGCUGCUGUCACAAAAACUCCCCCUGGUUAUGAAGUUGGAGCUAGGGGGGUUUUGGAACAAAAAUGUGAUAGGAUAUACCCUGGGAAUUUAUCGAACCCAAAUCCAAUGAAUAGGUUUCCUUCUGCCAAAUCACUCUUACCGGUGAAUUCAGGUGUGCAAAGAAAGUUGGACAUGAAUAAUCAGGAUCUUACUAAAAAUGAUAGAAACCAAAACUAUGUGAAGCAACAGCAAAAGUAUCGUCCACCUGGAAUAUUGAAUGGUCCACCUGGUUACGUGGGAAAGGCGCGUGGAGUUUCUGAAGCAGCUGAGAAGUUAGCAAACAUGACAUUGGCCGCUGAUCGGCCGCUGUAUGCAAAGGUGCUAGCAACAGUGCAGCCGUCUAUGAAGGCUGGAGGAAGGCACGACCAAUCGGAUUUUUACCUUGGACCACCUCAAGAACAGAGAUCUUACAUCAGGAAGGUGGUUUGAUAGAGACGAAAUACCGUAAUAAUCGAUCCAGUUUGACAAAAUUAAGGUUUAUCUAUUUGGGUUUUUGGCGAAAUGAUCUUAUGAGCCUGGCUUAUAAAUUUAUGUUACAAUAUCGAAGAGCAUCGUCCUUUUUCUUUUCUAGUGUGUUCGGUUUCUGUUUGUAUUGUUGGAUUACUCUAUUUCUAUGAGUUAAUAAAAGUUGUUUGGUUUCUCUUAAACCAUUUUAAGAAAA